UUUGCGGGUUUUCACCUUGGCCUCUCCAUUUUCUUUUUCUUUUUCUUUUUCUUUUUUCUUCUUUCUUUUUCUCCUUUUUUUGACUUUGAUUUUUUCGAUUUUUUUAUUUUUUAUUUUUUAUUUUUUUCUCUCUUUUUUUCUUCUUCUUUUUCAAAAUAUUCUUUGAUUGCAUCUAAACUCACAGGAUUAGGCAUUUCCUUAUUAUCCUUUCUGAUCAAGAUUGACACUUUUCUAGAUAAGGCCAUCACACAAGGUCCUUUUCAACUUGACAUAAAGUCCUUUUUGUAUGGGAAUGAUCUUCCUCAAUACCAGGUCCCUCUUUAUGGAAUUCUCUAGGGCGAACAUUUUUU
rnacentral:lncRNA from 1 species